rnacentral:rRNA from 1 species
GAUGAACGCUGGCGGCGUGCUUAACACAUGCAAGUCGAACGGAAAGGCCCAAGCUUGCUUGGGUACUCGAGUGGCGAACGGGUGAGUAACACGUGGGUGAUCUGCCCUGCACUUCGGGAUAAGCCUGGGAAACUGGGUCUAAUACCGGAUAGGACCACUUCUUGGUUGUUGUGGUGGAAAGUUUUUUCGGUGUGGGAUGAGCUCGCGGCCUAUCAGCUUGUUGGUGGGGUAAUGGCCUACCAAGGCGUCGACGGGUAGCCGGCCUGAGAGGGUGUACGGCCACAUUGGGACUGAGAUACGGCCCAGACUCCUACGGGAGGCAGCAGUGGGGAAUAUUGCACAAUGGGCGCAAGCCUGAUGCAGCGACGCCGCGUGGGGGAUGACGGCCUUCGGGUUGUAAACUCCUUUCGCUAGGGACGAAGCGUUUUUGUGACGGUACCUGGAGAAGAAGCACCGGCUAACUACGUG